UAUUGGAAGUUUGAUCCUGGCUCAGAACGAACGCUGGCGGCAGGCUUAACACAUGCAAGUCGAACGGAACCGUCCGGAUGAGUGGCAGACGGGUGAGUAACGUGUGGUAACGUGCCUUUCGGUUCGUAACAGCCCCGGGAAACUUGGGGUAAUACCGGAUAUACCCUUUGGGGCAAAGAUUUCUCGCCGAGAGAUCGGCCCGCGUCUGAUUAGCUAGAUGGUGGGGUAACGGCCUACCAAGGUGACGAUGUGUAGCUGGUCUGAGAGGAUGAUCACCCACACUGGGACUGAGACAGGGACCCGACUCCUACGGGAGGCAGCAGUGGGGAAUAUUCCACAAUGGGCGCAAGCCUGAUCUAGUCAUGCCGGGUGAGUGAUGAAGGCCUUAGGGUUGUAAAGCUCUUUCACCCGCGACUAUUAUGACGCUUCUGGGAGAAGAAACCCCGGCUAAGUUCGUGCCAGCACCCGCGGAAAUACCAAGGGGGCUACGGUCUUCUCUCAGACUCUCUGCGUAGAGAGCGCGCGUAGGCGGCCUUUAAGUGACGAGUGAAAUCCCGAGGCUCAACCUCGGAAUUGCCCUUGAUACUGUAUGUCUCGACAUCGAAAGAGGUGAGUGGAACUGCGAGUGUAGAGGUGAGAUUCAUAGAUAUUCGCAUGAACACCAGUGGCGAAGGCUGCUCACUGGUCUCGAUCUGAUGCUGAAGUGCGAUAUCUUGAGAACACACAGGAUUAGAUACCCUGGAAUUCCACGCCUAAAGGAUGGAUGCUCCCCGUUGGCGAGCUUGCCGGUUCGUGCCGCCCUUAACGUUUAACUCUCCCGCCCGGGGGGGACGGGCCGCAGGGUUAAACCUCACACGAGUUGACGGAGGCCCCCACGAACCGAGGAACCUGGGGGUUUAAUUUGAAC
rnacentral:rRNA from 1 species